rnacentral:rRNA from 1 species
CGCCUUUGGGCCAGGGUCAAAAGGUUGAGCCUGCCCGGUGGAUAUGAAUAUUAAACGGCUGCAGAACUCUGACUGUGCAAAGGUAGCAAAAUCAAUUUGUUCAUUAAUUGUGGACUGGAAUCAAUGGUUUGACGAUAAAAAAGCUGUCUUUUUUUACUGGGGUUUUAAAUUAUCUUGUAAGUGAAGAGACUUACAUAAAAAAGCGGGACGAGAAGACCCCGUUGAGCUUUAGUUACACACUCUUUUCUAGAGUAAAUAGCUUUAGUUGGGGCAACUAUUUUUAAAUUUUAAAACAAGAAUUUAGCCUUGGAUGAGUUAAAUCUAUUUUACAACCCUUAAAUUUAGGAUUCAAUGGAAUAAGUUACCACGGGGUUAACAGCGAAUUUUUUUUUGAGAGAACCUUAUUUGACAAAAAAGUUUGCAGAACCUCGAUUGUUGAUUCACAGUUUCCUGUUGAUUCACAGUUUCCUGUUGAUUCAUCAGUUUCCUGGGGGUGCAGCAAGCUCCCAAGGUUUGGUUUGUUCAACCCAUUAAACGCGUGU